AGAGGAAACUGCUUAAAUUGCAUUAAAUACAUUUAAAACAUAAAUAAACCAGUUAACAAGCCGCUGCAGAUACUAUAAAUACUUAAGUCAUCUGAAUGUCAAUUGAUAGUACACAGGCAUUUAUUUGUACUUCCAAUUCGAAAUGGACUUACUACGGCUGCAGCCCAAUUCACCACGCUCAUUUGACCUGGCCAGCUCACGACUCCACUACUUACAACUGGGCUCGUAAGAGUUGGCCAACAAAACAGGCUCACUCUCGUAAUUAAGCGCUGCCCUGUGUCCCCGGGGUGCAGUUAAUGUUGUGGUGCCAUAAAUUUGACUUUUGCCUGUGUUGUUCCGAUGUCUGUGAAUUGGGUUAUUUACGGCCAAAUGCUGCAUUUGCCAGCUGACCAGGAGUUUUGUAGGGCUAAGAGCAGCGAGCCCAUAUUCAAUUUGGCACACACACUUGGCUAAAAAACGUCCACUGUACAUUUGAGUUCAAUACUAAUUUGUACUAACUUUUAAGUUUCGGUAUAGUUAGGAUUUUUUGCAUAGGCAGCCAUGCUGUUUAUAUUUACUUUUAAUAAUAUUAUAAAUGUGAAAGAAUAUAAAAUAUAAUUUUAUUUUAAUUUUUAAGGAUUUUUCGAAUAUUUCUAAAAGCAGCAGUUUAACUCAUUUUCCGACGAUAAAUACUUGAUUUUAAACACAGCCAAUGCCCAUCAGUCCACAUCACAACCAUGCCCCCCCUUUGGCUGCUUUCAAAUCGCCGGUGGACACGUUGGAGCCAUCAAACUGGGGGACACAUGCCAGCAUCAGCUCUGGUAAUUUCGCCAUUUUGGCCUGGUUGUUGUGGUGGUAAUUUUCCCGCGACUGACGACUUUACAGCUACGCACUUAAAAGUGAAAAAAAUGAGUUGGACCGGUUUUUGCGCGGGGAAAGCUGCGCCAUCAACAAGUUUUCCCGUUUCCCGCCUGCAAAGUGCAGUUUCGCCAAGGAAACUCCGGCUCCGCGUGGAAGGAAACGUUACAAGGAUGUGACAGGAGCCUCCCACUAUCAACUACAUGCAAGCAAUAGUGUAUGUACAGAGAGAGAAAAUGCAAGCGAAUUUAUGGCAUUCUAAGCUAAUUUCUAUUGCCUGCGGAGUAACAACAUUAUUAUUAGAAUUAUACAAAUAUGUACACAUACACAACUUUGUAUCCGUCUCACUGUCGACUUGUCCAUCUGCCUGCUUGUUACAUCGUGAAAUGUGACAAUCUGCAGAGAAGUUGCAACGCAGGUGGAAGGAAGACAUCGAGCUGGAGGACUCCGGACUCAGGCACUCAGCUGUGCACGUUUAUGGACAACAUAAUGGCGGAAUCGAGUUGGGCGCAAUGUAACACCCACACGAGGAGGCGAAAGGAUAAAGACGUACAUAUGUACAUACAGGCAGCUAAGGCAGAGGCAAACAAACGCAAACUCCCGGAGAUAAAUCGCAAAACUGGGAGCUACCCAAGCCCGGCCAUCCAAUCUCACCCAGAAUUGCACCAUGGGAGGUAAAGUUCCUAUGUGUGUUAGUAUCUACUUUACACAACCAUUUGUACAUAUAUGUACAUAGUUAUUCGAAACCAACCAACAGAUUUAGUUAACCUUAAAGGUUUAAAUACCAUUUACAAAUUGAAGAGGAAAUACACCUAAGAGCGAAACUAUAGUUGUCCCCAAAA